rnacentral:tRNA from 1 species
GAAAAGUUAGUUUAAAAAUAAAAUAUUAAUUUGUCAAGUUAAAAAUGCUAAUUAAGCACUUUUCU